AUUGAACGCUGGCGGCAUGCCUUACACAUGCAAGUCGAACGGCAGCACGGGUGCUUGCACCUGGUGGCGAGUGGCGAACGGGUGAGUAAUACAUCGGAACGUACCUUAUCGUGGGUGAUAACGCAGCGAAAGCUGUGCUAAUACCGCAUACGCCCUGAGGGGGAAAGCGGGGGAUCGCAAGACCUCGCGCGAUUAGAGAGGCCGAUGCCUGAUUAGCUAGUUGGUGGGGUAAAAGCCCACCAAGGCGACGAUCAGUAGCUGGUCUGAGAGGACGAUCAGCCACACUGGGACUGAGACACGGCCCAGACUCCUACGGGAGGCAGCAGUGGGGAAUUUUGGACAAUGGGGGCAACCCUGAUCCAGCAAUGCCGCGUGAGUGAAGGAGGCCUUCGGGUUGUAAAGCUCUUUUGUCAGGGAAGAAACACCGGCUCUAACACAGUCCGGGAAUGACGGUACCUGAAGAAUAAGCACCGGCUAACUACGUGCCAGCAGCCGCCGUAA
rnacentral:rRNA from 1 species